CAGUAGCCGCGGUAAUACGUAGGUGGCAAGCGUUGUCCGGAAUUAUUGGGCGUAAAGGGCUCGCAGGCGGUUUCUUAAGUCUGAUGUGAAAGCCCCCGGCUCAACCGGGGAGGGUCAUGGGAAACUGGGAAACUUGAGUGCAGAAGAGGAGAGUGGAAUUCCACGUGUAGCGGUGAAAUGCGUAGAGAUGUGGAGGAACACCAGUGGCGAAGGCGACUCUCUGGUCUGUAACUGACGCUGAGGAGCGAAAGCGUGGGGAGCGAACAGGAUUAGAUACCCCCGUAGUCCCUGUCUCUUAUAA
rnacentral:rRNA from 1 species